rnacentral:lncRNA from 1 species
GAAACACCUCCGAUGAGAAUCAAGACUGUUGUGUGCUAUACAUUGCAGUGACUGCUGUACAUAUAGUUUCUGGCUCUUAGAGAAACGUAAUGGAUUCAUUAUGGAAAAACAAAGACUUUCAAUAUUUUCUGGUCAUCACUCUUCAGCCUUUUUUAAGGAGGUGGACUGAAGAGAGAAUAGCGUGUGUGCUGCUCUUCCAGAGGACCUGAGCUCCCAGCAUCCUGAAACUGCAGUUCAAGGGCACCCAAUGUCUCUGGUCUCUGUACCCGUCAGGAGGCCUGGCCAGCCCAGUUGGUUCAUGUCAACUGCCCUAUUAAAGUUCAAGAUUCUGUUUGCCCACUUG